AAGUGCUGAGCAGAUGCUACACUGUAAGGAGAGGAAAUAGAAGCAAAAACUGAAAGAAUGUUACUUACACUGGUGAACAGAUGUAGAGAGUGGAGACACAACAAAGCAAACAAAUGAAUACUGUGAGUAAAUAACAUGAAAGCAAAUGGGGGGGGGAACCCUCAUCUGGGUAAUUGUGGCUCUUGGCACAAAGAUCAGGUUCCUGGUACUAGCCUGGCUGAAAGCAUCCCUUAUCCCUGGAUCCCAGACCCGGGAUACAGAUGUCAUUCUCUGUGUGGUGUCCUUAUUUUACUCCUAGGAAAAGGAUCCCCAAAGGAGGUGUAAGGAUCCUGGACUGUGGUACCUGUAAGCAGCUUCAGCCACCUUCACAGGCUAGAGCUCACCAUCCAUUGUGGAGGUGAAGACCGGAUGGGAGCUGCUGGAUUGACUUUGAUGUGCCAUGUCCUUGUGUGGAUGAAAGACCUACGUCUCAGAGAUUGCCAGCAGCAGAUGUAACACGUGUCCAGGAAUAGGCUAAACAACCUACAGUGAUAGAUCUCAGCCGCUCAGCAGAAUGCAGGAGAGCUGAGUGCUGAUGGGCUAGAGGGGUCCCAGGAGUCGCUGUGCAGCAGGUGCAGUGUCUGCAGUCACCAUGGGCCAAACCCUGCGCUCCAGACAACCCAGGCUCUUUCUCUGGAUUGCGAAGGGGACUUUAGCUUUAGCCGUUUUCAUGUUUGCAAUUAAAGGAAGCCAGAUAUCUAGCUACUUGAGAGCCCCCUUGUUCCAGUCAGGCAGAAAAUCAGAGCUAGCAUGCGCACAAACCCUUACAGGGAAAAGAUGGAUUUUUAACCUAAAGCCAUACCCGGUUCAGCCACAUUUUCAUGACUUUCCAGAUGGGGCAGUGUAAGAAAUGGCUGGGCCUUUGCUUAAGAUUUGACUCACUGUGGAAUGGCACGUCACAUUACCCAGUGCUGGAUAACUAUGGACUGAAGGGCCUAU